AGGAAAUAGAUACCCAGGUAGUCCUAGCAGUAAACGGUGCACGUUUGGUGUGGGGGGAUUCGACCCCUUCCGCGCCGGAGCUAAACGCGUUAAAAACGUGCCGCCUGGGAAGUACGGUCGCAAGAUUAAAACUCAAAGAAAUUGACGGGGACCCGCACAAGCGGUGGAGUAUGUGGCUUAAUUCGAUGCAACGCGAAGAACCUUACCUGGUCUUGACAUGCACUGUGUCUCUCGUGAAAGCGAGAUAGGGUAGCAAUACCCGCUUUGCACAGGUGCUGCAUGGCUGUCGUCAGCUCGUGUCGUGAGAUGUUGGGUUAAGUCCCGCAACGAGCGCAACCCCCGUGUGAUUUGUUGCCACCCGGUUUUACCGGAGCACUCGAAUCAGACUGCCUAGAUCAACUAGGAGGAAGGUGGGGAUGACGUCAAGUCCGUAUGGCCCUUACGACCAGGGCUGCACACGUACUACAAUGCCCAGCACAGUGUGAACCAAAA
rnacentral:rRNA from 1 species